GGUUGUCAUGGCGAUGCCUGUAAACAAAUUUGGAUCAUCACAGGUCACCUGUGACCAGUGACCAGUAAGUGCUGUCUGAUACUGGACACACUUGCCACUCAGGUCAGCUGAUCAGACAAGGACAACCAAUUCUCUUGCUCAAUUGUACUGUGGAUUGCUGAUACUCUCCCUCCAACCAUGGCAAUGAUGAAAAUGGAGACAACCCUGGGAUUGACAGCUUCAGGCCAGACACACUGUCUGCUGCAGAGUCCAGACCUCUGCAGUGCCUGCACCCAGGAUGUCCAGAAGACACCACCUGUCCAUGGGGACUGGUCAUUAACUGCUCCCAUGCACAGUUUUUUGGAAUUCCUGCCCUUGCCUCCUGCUCCAAGCUUGGAACAAACAGAGAAUAAUGACUUGGAUUUAAUGACAGCCUCUCUAUCAACUCCUGUGGAUGUUCCCUCUGCUGGCAAGAAGGAGGACCUAUUACCUCCCAAACCUCAAUUCCAAUAUGACUUCAGCUGACAACCAAUUCCAAGGAGGAAAGUCAGCAUUUCAGGGCCAGUCAUCUCAAAGCCCAUCACAGAAGAGCAGAGACCAGAGAGGGAGGCCAUGAAGAGGCAGGCUCAACGGAAGAGAGAGAAUGCUGCCAAGUACACCUCUCUGGGAAAACCACAGCUCUUCCUUCAGAGGCAAAAGGAUAUGGAAAUUUCUAGAUAUUUUGGCUAUGUCAUGUAUGGGCUGGCCUGGAGUUUGGAACACAGUACUAUUCAACAUAGACAAGGUAAGCCAUUGACCCAGAUAUACAUGUAUACGUUGGACUUAAAGAUUUGGGUCAAUGUGUACAUAUAUAGGUACAUAUGGAGUUAAGGAGGUUAAUGUGUAGAUCCAAGAAAAUUUAAAUAAAUGGUCAGACAGUUUCUAUACUUGUAAAUAUUUGAAGACACUAAAAGUGACUGGAGAUGCUAAAAUUGGAUAUUUCAUCCAUGAGUAAGUAUAUAGAAGACUUUGAUGGUUUCUUCGUACCUUUGCUGUUAUUCAUUUAUGUUGCCAAAGUAGUAAUAUGUGAUAUAUUAAUAUAUCAUAUGCUAUAAAUCCCUGGUAGUAUUUUUAUUUAAGGUAAAAGUAAUUAGCUAAAACCUGGACUAGUUAUAAAAUUAUUUUGACUUUUAUUUUCAUUAUACUGGUUUUUGAACUUGGUAUGUUUCCUAUAGUGUAUACUGUUAUAGUAAACACACUCCUGUUCUCACCACACUUCCUCCCAUUUUGAAUCACUCACUUCAGUCCUUUAACCAUUACUAGUCUUGGGCAGAGCUCCUCCUGAAAUUUCAUAACGUGAAAUACAGGAUUCCAUAUAUGCACCAUCAAGGAUGUACUUUAAAGAGAAAAUAUACAAGGUUGAACAAUUUCCUGAGAAGGGUUUCAUUCGUUUACUCUUUGUCUCAAGUUGUAUCCAUCUUUGAAAUCACCCAUUAAUACUUUAUUUUGUGUUUGUGUGUUUGUUUGUCUACCUGAAUUCCUGUGGAACAAAUGUGUGGAGUGCCCACAGAGGUCAGAAGAGGCCAUCGGAUCUGUGAAGUUUGUAAUUAAGAGAUUGAAAGCCACAAGAAGGGGCUCUGAAGCAAGCCUGGGGACUCUGCAAGAAAAGCAAGUAUUCUUAUCUACUGAGCCAUCUCAUGAGCCUCAGUUGAAUCCACAUACUGCAAACAACAUAACUUCAUUUUCUCUAUGGCUGAAAAGACUUCACAUUCUACGAACAUCUCAUUUUCUUCACCCAUGGCAAUGCUGUUGGACACCAUGCUUGGUUCCCUAAUAUUCUUGAAACGGUGCUGCAGUCAACACUGAUGGGCAAGUACCUCUCUAAUAUAUUGAGUUCUUUGGAAA